UGAUUAAACUUAUUGGCGUAAUGAAAGUAAAGUAAGCUUUAAGCUUAUGAUAUAUGAUUGUUUCAUUUUUUUUAAUGGAGCAAGUAGUAUAGUCCCAUCCGAUUUGCUUGCAAAUGGGUGGAGAUAGAGCAUAUGCGAUGAGACCCGAAAGAUGGUGAACUAUGCCUGAGCAGGAUGAAGUCAGAGGAAACUCUGAUGGAAGUCCGAAGCGGUUCUGACGUGCAAAUCGAUCGUCUGACUUGGGUAUAGGGGCGAAAGACUAAUCGAACCAUCUAGUAUCUGGUUCCUUCCG
rnacentral:rRNA from 1 species